UACGAGGGGGGCGAGCGUUGUUCGGAAUUAUUGGGCGUAAAGGGUGCGUAGGCGGUUUGGUAAGUCUCGUGUGAAAUCUCCGGGCUCAACUCGGAGCCUGCACGAGAAACUGCCGGGCUUGAGUGUGGGAGAGGUGAGUGGAAUUCCUGGUGUAGCGGUGAAAAUGCGUAGAUAUCAGGAGGAACACCUGUGGCGAAAGCGGCUCACUGGACCAUAACUGACGCUGAUGCACGAAAGCUAGGGGAGCAAACAGG
rnacentral:rRNA from 1 species